rnacentral:rRNA from 1 species
AGUGAACGCUGGCGGUAGGCCUAACACAUGCGAGUCGAACGGCAGCACAGUAAGAGCUUGCUCUUACGGGUGGCGAGUGGCGGACGGGUGAGGAAUACAUCGGAAUCUACUUUUUCGUGGGGGAUAACGUAGGGAAACUUACGCUAAUACCGCAUACGACCUACGGGUGAAAGCAGGGGAUCUUCGGACCUUGCGCGAUUGAAUGAGCCGAUGUCGGAUUAGCUAGUUGGCGGGGUAAAGGCCCACCAAGGCGACGAUCCGUAGCUGGUCUGAGAGGAUGAUCAGCCACACUGGAACUGAGACACGGUCCAGACUCCUACGGGAGGCAGCAGUGGGGAAUAUUGAACAAUGGGCGCAAGCCUGAUCCAGCCAUACCGCGUGGGUGAAGAAGGCCUUCGGGUUGUAAAGCCCUUUUGUUGGGAAAGAAAAGCAGCAGGUUAAUACCCCGCUGUUCUGACGGUACCCAAAGAAUAAGCACCGGCUAACUUCGUG